rnacentral:rRNA from 1 species
GACGAACGCUGGCGGCGUGCUUAACACAUGCAAGUCGAACGCGCCUGCCCUCUGGGUUUCUGGGGGGUGGGUGAGUGGCGAACGGGUGAGUAACACGUGAGUAACCUGCCCCCUUCUUCGGGAUAACGGUCUGAAAGGGCUGCUAAUACCGGGUAUUCACUGGUCUCCGCAUGGGGUCUGGUGGAAAGGUUUUUUUCUGGUGGGGGAUGGGCUCGCGGCCUAUCAGCUUGUUGGUGGGGUGAUGGCCCACCAAGGCUUUGACGGGUAGCCGGCCUGAGAGGGUGACCGGUCACAUUGGGACUGAGAUACGGCCCAGACUCCUACGGGAGGCAGCAGUGGGGAAUAUUGCACAAUGGGCGCAAGCCUGAUGCAGCGACGCCGCGUGAGGGAUGGAGGCCUUCGGGUUGUGAACCUCUUUCGCCCGUGGUCAAGCCGCGACGUGGGUCGUGGUGAGGGUAGUGGGUAAAGAAGCGCCGGCUAACUACGUG